CCUACGGGAGGCAGCAGUGAGGAAUAUUGGUCAAUGGCCGAGAGCCUGAACCAGCCAAGUCGCGUGAGGGAAGACGGCCCUACGGGUUGUAAACCUCUUUUGUCGUGGAGCAAAGCGAACCACGUGUGGUUCCUUGAGUGUACCCCACGAAAAAGCAUCGGCUAACUCCGUGCCAGCAGCCGCGGUAAUACGGGGGUUGCGUGCGUUAUCCGGAUUUAUUGGGUGAAAGGGGUGGGCAGGGGGAGGUGCAAGUCAGCGGUCAAAUUGCGGGGCUAAACCCCGUACUGCCGUUGAAACUGCAGCCCUGGAGUGCGGGAGAGGUAAGCGGAAUGCGUGGUGUAGCGGUGAAAUGCGUAGAUAUCACGCAGAACUCCGAUUGCGAAGGCAGCAUACUGGAGGGCAACUGACGGUCAGGCACGAAAGCGUGGGUAUCGAACAGGAUUAGAUACCCGUGUAGUC
rnacentral:rRNA from 1 species